UACAGAGGGUGCGAGCGUUGUCCGGAAUCACUGGGCGUAAAGGGCGCGUAGGUGGCGACCCAAGUCGAUGGUGAAAGCUCGCCGCUCAACGGCGAGUCGGCCACCGAUACUGGGUUGCUGGAGCACUGUAGAGGCAGAUGGAAUUCCGGGUGUAGCGGUGGAAUGCGUAGAGGAUCCGGAAGAACACCGGUGGCGAAGGCGGUCUGCUGGGCAGUUGCUGGACACUGAGG
rnacentral:rRNA from 1 species